rnacentral:rRNA from 1 species
GUCUACAGCCCUGCUACCCUGAACAAGCUCAAUCAUGUCUAAUCUCAGAAGCUAAGCAGGGUUGGGCCUGGUUAGUAUGUGGAUGGGAGACCACCUAGAAAGACCAGGUGCUAUAGUCG